rnacentral:rRNA from 1 species
CCUACGGGUGGCAGCAGUGGGGAAUUUUGCGCAAUGGGGGAAACCCUGACGCAGCGACGCCGCGUGGAGGAUGAAGGCCCUUGGGUCGUAAACUCCUGUCAGGUGGGAAGAAAAGCCUUCGGUAAACAGCCGAGGGACUUGACUGUACCACCGGAGGAAGCCCCGGCUAACUCCGUGCCAGCAGCCGCGGUAAUACGGAGGGGGCAAGCGUUGUUCGGAAUCAUUGGGCGUAAAGGGCGCGUAGGCGGCCGGAAAAGUCGGAUGUGAAAUCCCUCGGCUCAACCGAGGAACUGCACUCGAUACUGUCUGGCUAGAGUCCGGGAGGGGAUGGUGGAAUUCCCAGUGUAGCGGUGAAAUGCGUAGAUAUUGGGAAGAACACCGGUGGCGAAGGCGGCCAUCUGGACCGGUACUGACGCUGAGGCGCGAAAGCCAGGGGAGCGAAUGGGAUUAGAUACCCGGGUAGUC